AGAAGACAAGUGGCAGAGCUGGAAUUCGAACCCAGGUUCUACUGACUCCCUAGUCCAGGCUCCAUAUGCUGCUAUACAUAUUGCUAAGAUUACAACACACCACAGCUUCUACUGUGCUCUGAAAAUCUGAAUGGAGACACUGGGAAUCAUGGCAGAAAAACCACAAAAUUCUUCUGUUCAGAGCACCCAAGGCCUGAAGAUUGGAAAACAUCAUAUCCAUGUUUCUUCCUGCAAAUGCACCACCCUUCCUGCAGCCCAAGGAUCCAGGGAGAUUGGAGCAGCUUGCCUAGGGAUUGAGAUCAAGACCAAACAUUUGGACCUUUAAAAAAAUCAUUGAGCCAAAGGUAAAUGAUUCAAAUGAUCAGUUCAGAAUGUUGCCUCUGGCUACAGUGUUUUCCUUUUCCACAGAAUACUGUGGAGCAGCAAAAUAAUGUAAAACUGCGAUCCAUGUUUAAUACCUAAUU